AGUCUUAUGCCCAUGUCUGGAACUGGAGUGGGAUCGGCCACAUUGAAAGAACACAGCCUGAGGGCAGGGAAGCUAUUGAGCCCCAGAGAGAAGUUAAAGUACUUUUCAUGAAAGAUCAUUGUCUGUUAAGACCCCAUCGCAGAGAAGUUAAAGAGCUUCAAUCACCAUGCUUUCAGGGUCAAUUUGUCUCCGAAAAGGAACAGAUGGGGAAGAAUUAUUCCAUUCACAGUUGACUUGUCAGAAAUUCCAAGAUCUUGGACGGGCUGAAAGCAAUGAUGUUGCCAUUCAUCCUUUCACGUAUUCAUUAUGGUCUACAGCUGAGAAGGGCUAUUUGGGGUUUGCUUUGCCUGAUGGUAGCAGAAGAAAACCAAGAGGCCUCUCUACGAAAGCUUGCAGUAAGGAGAAAGUUCUGGAGACUGGGAAGAGCAACACAAAGAUAUUCAGUUGCUUGGUGAGAGCUGCUCUCUGCUUCCAAGGCGGCACCUUGUUGCUGCAUUCUCCAAUGGGAAGGAACGCUGGGUCCUCACAUGACAGAAGGUGGAAAGGCAGAGAUCUGGGAACCUGAUGUGGGAAGAAAUCUCAUCUGUGACCACGAUUUUGUCAGGAGUCACGGGAUUCUAUAGCUGCAGCAAACCUGGAGCAAACUGGUCCCCACCAAUCUGGGUGAGACAAACCAAUGAUGACUGAAAAUCACAAUAAAAUUGUAAUACUCGAGAUCUCAA
rnacentral:lncRNA from 1 species